rnacentral:rRNA from 1 species
UACGGAGGGUGCUAGCGUUGUUCGGAAUUACUGGGCGUAAAGCGCGCGUAGGCGGCUUUGUAAGUUAGAGGUGAAAGCCCGGGGCUCAACUCCGGAACUGCCUUUAAGACUGCAUCGCUUGAAUCCAGGAGAGGUGAGUGGAAUUCCGAGUGUAGAGGUGAAAUUCGUAGAUAUUCGGAAGAACACCAGUGGCGAAGGCGGCUCACUGGACUGGUAUUGACGCUGAGGUGCGAAAGCGUGGGGAGCAAACAGG